GCUUGUUUGAGUCCUGGAUUCCAGUUAGUAAUAAAGUGAAACCAGAUGGUGGCCACUGGCAAAGAAGGGUUUCUAGUCUACCUUCCAAGCCACCCAGAAACCUGAAGGUUCCAGGACUUAGGACUUCAAGUUAUCUUUUUGAGGACAUCAUUCAAUCCAUAAGCUCAAUCACAAAGACAUAUUUCAAUGGAUUUCACAUUAUGGACUGUAAAUUUGCUCCCUAAAGAAAAGCUUCCUGUUGCUGCAUUCAUUCCAGAUUCCUCAGCAAUCUUGGAAACAUUGCCAAUGCCUUUCCUACAGUGAGGCACUGCUCUGUCUGACCCGGGCUCCAAUGAUCUGAUCAGUGACUUGACGAGUGUACUGGCUCUACUAACACAGUCCAAAACACACGUGCUUUUGACAACCACAUCACAUUCUUGACUCCUGCUAAUCUUCUGGUCAGGUGAUCCUUCCAGGUCUCUUUAGUAUGAAUCACUGCUUAGUGUGAAUCGAAUCCACUUUGAUCUACUUUAGGGAAAUAAACAAAACUGUGAAAUGCCCAUUGUUCAUCAGUGUUAGUGCUUUAGAAAUCAAGCCACCCUGAGUCAUCAAAGUGGGGAAGGUGCUAUUUAUCACAGAACUGUGAAUUCCCAGGAUAGUCAUUAGGUGCAAAUGUACUAUGGAGCUGCAGUUUCACUAGGUUUAUGCCUGAGUGCCAAUAAUAAAAUUAACC